AUACGGAGGAUGCAAGCGUUAUCCGGAUUUAUUGGGUUUAAAGGGUGCGUAGGCGGGACUGUAAGUCAGGGGUGAAAUACUGCAGCUUAACUGUAGCAUUGCCUUUGAAACUGCCGUUCUUGAGUACAGUUGAGGUAGGCGGAAUGUGGUGUGUAGCGGUGAAAUGCAUAGAUAUACCACAGAACGCCGAUUGCGAAGGCAGCUUACUAAGCUGUUACUGACGCUGAGGCACGAAAGCGUGGGGAUCAAACAGGAUUAGAUACCCUGGUAGUCCACGCUGUAAACGAUGAUUACUGGUUGUUAGCGAUAUAUAGCUAGUGACUGAGCGAAAGCAUUAAGUAAUCCACCUGGGGAGUACGUCGGCAGCGAUGAAACUCAAAGGAAUUGACGGGG
rnacentral:rRNA from 1 species